GGAAGGGAUAAGCGCUGAAAGCAUCUAAGUGCGAAGCCCACCUCAAGGUGAGAUUUCCCAUGAUUUUAUAUCAGUAAGAGCCCUGAGAGAUGAUCAGGUAGAUAGGUUAGGAGUGUAAUUGUGGUGACACAUUUAGCGGACUAAUACUAAUAGCUCGAGGACUUAUCCAAAA
rnacentral:rRNA from 1 species